CUUUGUGGUGAAGACAUAGCAUAGACGAGCGCCCCGUAACAAUGUUACCGAGGGCAUGUUGCCAUUCAAUGGUCACAAGCUUGUUUGGGAAAUUCCCCGAAUGUAAUCGCAGAGAUGCGACUUCGGAAACGAAAACCGGUAGAUGGUUUGCCACUCCUGCAACGACGGCUUCUUUUUGAGAAGCAAGAGCUUUGGAGUAGGCCUGCUGCCGCCAUUAGAGCAAAGUUAUGCUAUCAAACUCAACGGGGAUUACUCUCACCACAAA
rnacentral:ncRNA from 2 species